rnacentral:tRNA from 1 species
GUGGCAGUAGCUCAAUGGUAGAACUCCCGCUUGGCAUGCGGGGAGACCUGGGUUCGAUUUCCGGCUGCUUCU